GGGAAGGUGGCUCAGUGGCAGAGCGCUUGCCUUGCAUGCAUGUGGCCCUGGGUUCGAUUCCUGAGCACCCCCU
rfam:Dipodomys ordii contig_7664, whole genome shotgun sequence.